rnacentral:rRNA from 1 species
GACGAACGCUGGCGGCGUGCCUAACACAUGCAAGUCGAACGGAGAUACGAUUUCGGUUGUAUCUUAGUGGCGAACGGGUGAGUAACGCGUGAACAACCUGACUCUUAGAGGGGGAUAACACUCGGAAACGGGUGCUAGUACCGCAUAAGACCACGACCCGGCAUCGGGAUGAGGUCAAAGGAGCAAUCCGCUGAGAGAGGGGUUCGCGUCCCAUUAGAUAGAUGGCGGGGUAACGGCCCACCAUGUCGACGAUGGGUAGCCGAGCUGAGAGGCUGAUCGGCCACACUGGAACUGAGACACGGUCCAGACUCCUACGGGAGGCAGCAGUGGGGAAUAUUGGGCAAUGGGCGCAAGCCUGACCCAGCAACGCCGCGUGAGGGAAGAAGGCUUUCGGGUCGUAAACCUCUGUCCUUGGUGACGAAACAAAUGACGGUAGCCAAGGAGGAAGCCCCGGCUAACUACGUGCCAGCCGCCGCAGUAA